rnacentral:rRNA from 2 species
UUAAGCGACUAAGCGUACACGGUGGAUGCCCUGGCAGUCAGAGGCGAUGAAGGACGUGCUAAUCUGCGAUAAGCGUCGGUAAGGUGAUAUGAACCGUUAUAACCGGCGAUUUCCGAAUGGGGAAACCCAGUGUGAUUCGACACACUAUCAUUAACUGAAUCCAUAGGUUAAUGAGGCGAACCGGGGGAACUGAAACAUCUAAGUACCCCGAGGAAAAGAAAUCAACCGAGAUUCCCCCAGUAGCGGCGAGCGAACGGGGAGCAGCCCAGAGCCUGAAUCAGUGUGUGUGUUAGUGGAAGCGUCUGGAAAGGCGCGCGAUACAGGGUGACAGCCCCGUACACAAAAAUACACAUACUGUGAGCUCGAUGAGUAGGGCGGGACACGUGGUAUCCUGUCUGAAUAUGGGGGGACCAUCCUCCAAGGCUAAAUACUCCUGACUGACCGAUAGUGAACCAGUACCGUGAGGGAAAGGCGAAAAGAACCCCGGCGAGGGGAGUGAAAAAGAACCUGAAACCGUGUACGUACAAGCAGUGGGAGCACAGAGCAAUCUGUGUGACUGCGUACCUUUUGUAUAAUGGGUCAGCGACUUAUAUUCUGUAGCAAGGUUAACCGAAUAGGGGAGCCGAAGGGAAACCGAGUCUUAACUGGGCGUUAAGUUGCAGGGUAUAGACCCGAAACCCGGUGAUCUAGCCAUGGGCAGGUUGAAGGUUGGGUAACACUAACUGGAGGACCGAACCGACUAAUGUUGAAAAAUUAGCGGAUGACUUGUGGCUGGGGGUGAAAGGCCAAUCAAACCGGGAGAUAGCUGGUUCUCCCCGAAAGCUAUUUAGGUAGCGCCUCGUGAAUUCAUCUCCGGGGGUAGAGCACUGUUUCGGCAAGGGGGUCAUCCCGACUUACCAACCCGAUGCAAACUGCGAAUACCGGAGAAUGUUAUCACGGGAGACACACGGCGGGUGCUAACGUCCGUCGUGAAGAGGGAAACAACCCAGACCGCCAGCUAAGGUCCCAAAGUCAUGGUUAAGUGGGAAACGAUGUGGGAAGGCCCAGACAGCCAGGAUGUUGGCUUAGAAGCAGCCAUCAUUUAAAGAAAGCGUAAUAGCUCACUGGUCGAGUCGGCCUGCGCGGAAGAUGUAACGGGGCUAAACCAUGCACCGAAGCUGCGGCAGCGACGCUGAUGCGUUGUUGGGUAGGGGAGCGUUCUGUAAGCCUGCGAAGGUGUGCUGUGAGGCAUGCUGGAGGUAUCAGAAGUGCGAAUGCUGACAUAAGUAACGAUAAAGCGGGUGAAAAGCCCGCUCGCCGGAAGACCAAGGGUUCCUGUCCAACGUUAAUCGGGGCAGGGUGAGUCGACCCCUAAGGCGAGGCCGAAAGGCGUAGUCGAUGGGAAACAGGUUAAUAUUCCUGUACUUGGUGUUACUGCGAAGGGGGGACGGAGAAGGCUAUGUUGGCCGGGCGACGGUUGUCCCGGUUUAAGCGUGUAGGCUGGUUUUCCAGGCAAAUCCGGAAAAUCAAGGCUGAGGCGUGAUGACGAGGCACUACGGUGCUGAAGCAACAAAUGCCCUGCUUCCAGGAAAAGCCUCUAAGCAUCAGGUAACAUCAAAUCGUACCCCAAACCGACACAGGUGGUCAGGUAGAGAAUACCAAGGCGCUUGAGAGAACUCGGGUGAAGGAACUAGGCAAAAUGGUGCCGUAACUUCGGGAGAAGGCACGCUGAUAUGUAGGUGAAGUCCCUCGCGGAUGGAGCUGAAAUCAGUCGAAGAUACCAGCUGGCUGCAACUGUUUAUUAAAAACACAGCACUGUGCAAACACGAAAGUGGACGUAUACGGUGUGACGCCUGCCCGGUGCCGGAAGGUUAAUUGAUGGGGUCAGCGCAAGCGAAGCUCUUGAUCGAAGCCCCGGUAAACGGCGGCCGUAACUAUAACGGUCCUAAGGUAGCGAAAUUCCUUGUCGGGUAAGUUCCGACCUGCACGAAUGGCGUAAUGAUGGCCAGGCUGUCUCCACCCGAGACUCAGUGAAAUUGAACUCGCUGUGAAGAUGCAGUGUACCCGCGGCAAGACGGAAAGACCCCGUGAACCUUUACUAUAGCUUGACACUGAACAUUGAGCCUUGAUGUGUAGGAUAGGUGGGAGGCUUUGAAGUGUGGACGCCAGUCUGCAUGGAGCCGGCCUUGAAAUACCACCCUUUAAUGUUUGAUGUUCUAACGUUGACCCGUAAUCCGGGUUGCGGACAGUGUCUGGUGGGUAGUUUGACUGGGGCGGUCUCCUCCUAAAGAGUAACGGAGGAGCACGAAGGUUGGCUAAUCCUGGUCGGACAUCAGGAGGUUAGUGCAAUGGCAUAAGCCAGCUUGACUGCGAGCGUGACGGCGCGAGCAGGUGCGAAAGCAGGUCAUAGUGAUCCGGUGGUUCUGAAUGGAAGGGCCAUCGCUCAACGGAUAAAAGGUACUCCGGGGAUAACAGGCUGAUACCGCCCAAGAGUUCAUAUCGACGGCGGUGUUUGGCACCUCGAUGUCGGCUCAUCACAUCCUGGGGCUGAAGUAGGUCCCAAGGGUAUGGCUGUUCGCCAUUUAAAGUGGUACGCGAGCUGGGUUUAGAACGUCGUGAGACAGUUCGGUCCCUAUCUGCCGUGGGCGCUGGAGAACUGAGGGGGGCUGCUCCUAGUACGAGAGGACCGGAGUGGACGCAUCACUGGUGUUCGGGUUGUCAUGCCAAUGGCACUGCCCGGUAGCUAAAUGCGGAAGAGAUAAGUGCUGAAAGCAUCUAAGCACGAAACUUGCCCCGAGAUGAGUUCUCCCUGACUCCUUGAGAGUCCUGAAGGAACGUUGAAGACGACGACGUUGAUAGGCCGGGUGUGUAAGCGCAGCGAUGCGUUGAGCUAACCGGUACUAAUGAACCGUGAGGCUUAACCUU